rnacentral:rRNA from 1 species
CCUACGGGUGGCUGCAGUGAGGAAUAUUGGUCAAUGGACGAGAGUCUGAACCAGCCAAGUCGCGUGAAGGAUGACUGCCCUAUGGGUUGUAAACUUCUUUUAUAUGGGAAUAAAAUGUUCCACGUGUGGGGUGUUGUGUGUACCAUAUGAAUAAGCAUCGGCUAACUCCGUGCCAGCAGCCGCGGUAAUACGGAGGAUCCGAGCGUUAUCCGGAUUUAUUGGGUUUAAAGGGUGCGUAGGUGGGUUGUUAAGUCAGUUGUGAAAGUUUGCGGCUCAACCGUAAAAUUGCAGUUGAAACUGGCAGUCUUGAGUACAGGAGAGGUAGGCGGAAUGCGUGGUGUAGCGGUGAAAUGCUUAGAUAUCACGAAGAACUCCGAUUGCGAAGGCAGCUUACUGGACUGCAACUGACACUGAGGCACGAAAGCGUGGGUAUCAAACAGGAUUAGAUACCCGAGUAGUC